UUUUCAGCAAUCAUUGAGAUUUAUAUUCUCGUAAAGGAGAAGAACCAUGUAGAAGCGGGAAAUGUAAUGAUCGCAGUUGCAUUUGCAAUACUAUACUUGAUGUUCUACCAUUGGAAUAAUAAGGGCCGUAAUAAUAAUGGCCGUAAUAACGAAGCAGCACAACCUGCGAACGGU